CAUUAUUGAAAUAAACCUGAUGGGUUGUUGCUGGUUCUCUAGGGAGCAUGUGCACACCUUGUCAUCUUUAUAUCUCCACCUGUGCACCUUUUGUAGACCUUUCAGGUCUAUGUUGCUUCAUUUACCCCAAUGUAUGUUAAUAGAAUGUUGUGCCUAUAUAAUAUAUACAACUUUCAGCAACGGAUCUCUUGGCUCUCGCAUCGAUGAAGAACGCAGCGAAAUGCGAUAAGUAAUGUGAAUUGCAGAAUUCAGUGAAUCAUCGAAUCUUUGAACGCACCUUGCGCUCCUUGGUAUUCCGAGGAGCAUGCCUGUUUGAGUGUCAUUAAUAUAUCAACCUUCUCUUUUUGAGUGGUUUGGAUGUGGGGGUUUGCUGGCCUCUUAAAAGGUCUUGGCUCUCCUGAAAUACAUUAGCAGAACAACCCUGUUCAUUGGUGUGAUAACUAUCUACGCUAUUGAAUGUGAAGGGCCGUUUGGCUUUCUAACAGUCCUUGGACAAGCUCAUCAUUAAUGUG
rnacentral:rRNA from 1 species